GGUAUGUAGAAUAAUUCCCUCAUAACGGGCCAGCUGAAUGAUUACAUUUCUUCCUGGUCGUAUUGAGGGAGAGAAAAAUGUUUUUC
rnacentral:pre_miRNA from 1 species